rnacentral:rRNA from 1 species
AUUGAACGCUGGCGGCAGGCUUAACACAUGCAAGUCGAACGAGUGGCGGACGGGUGAGUAAUGCUUGGGAAUCUGGCUUAUGGAGGGGGAUAACGACGGGAAACUGUCGCUAAUACCGCGUACCAUAGGAUGAGCCCAAGUGGGAUUAGGUAGUUGGUGGGGUAAUGGCCGACCAAGCCGACGAUCUCUAGCUGGUCCGAGAGGAGGACGCACCCCACCGGGACGUGGACAAGGCCCCGAACCCCACGGGAGGCCGGAGGGGGGAAUAUGUGGCAAUGGGGGCAACCUGACGCAGCCAUGCCGCGUGAAUGAAGAAGGCCUUCGGGUUGUAAAGUUCUUUCGGUGACGAGGCGUUAAUCACAGAAGAAGCACCGGCUAACUCCGUGCCAGCAGCCGCGGUAAUUC